UACGUAGGGGGCAAGCGUUGUCCGGAUUUAUUGGGCGUAAAGAGCGUGUAGGCGGCUUUACAGGUCCGUUGUGAAAACUCGAGGCUCAACCUCGAGACGCCGGUGGAAACCGUAAAGCUAGAGUCCGGAAGAGGAGACUGGAAUUUACGGUGUAGCGGUGAAAUGCGUAGAUAUCGUAAGGAAGACCAGUGGCGAAGGCGGGUCUCUGGACAGUUCCUGACGCUGAGGCACGAAGGCCAGGGGAGCAAACGGG
rnacentral:rRNA from 1 species